rnacentral:rRNA from 1 species
UACGGAGGGUGCGAGCGUUGUUCGGAAUUACUGGGCGUAAAGCGCGUGCAGGCGGUUCGGCAAGUCAGAUGUGAAAGCCCUGAGCUCAACUCAGGAAGUGCAUUUGAAACUGCCGGGCUAGAGUAUGGGAGAGGAGAGUGGAAUUCCCAGUGUAGAGGUGAAAUUCGUAGAUAUUGGGAGGAACACCCGUGGCGAAGGCGACUCUCUGGACCAAUACUGACGCUGAGACGCGAAAGCGUGGGGAGCAAACAGG